AGGUAACGUCAAGACCCACGGGUAUUAACCGUAGGCUUUUCCUCUCUACUGAAAGUGCUUUACAACCCGCAGGCCUUCUUCACACACGCGGCAUUGCUGGAUCAGGGUUGCCCCCAUUGUCCAAUAUUCCCCA
rnacentral:rRNA from 1 species